AGAGUUUGAUCCUGGCUCAGGAUGAACGCUGGCGGCGUGCUUAAUACAUGCAAGUCGAACGGAGACAUUAUAGCAAUAUGAUGUCUUAGUGGCGAACGGGUGAGUAACGCGUUGGUGACCUGCCCCGAAGUGGGGGAUAACAGUUCGAAAGGGCUGCUAAUACCUCAUGUGGUCAUAAGGGUUAGAGGCCUUAUGUCUAAAGGAGUAAUCCGCUUCGGGAGGGGCCUGCGUCCCAUCAGCUAGUUGGUAGGGUAAUGGCCUACCAAGGCGACGACGGGUAGGGGACCUGAGAGGGUGGCCCCCCACACUGGCACUGAAACACGGGCCAGACACCUACGGGUGGCAGCAGUAGGGAAUAUUGCACAAUGGGCGAAAGCCUGAUGCAGCAACGCCGCGUGCACGAUGAAGGCCUUCGGGUCGUAAAGUGCUUUUCGGGGAGAUGAGAAAGGACAGUAUCCCCGGAAUAAGGAUCGGCUAACUACGUGCCAGCAGCCGCGGUAACACGUAGGAUCCGAGCGUUAUCCGAAUUUACUGGGCGUAAAGCGCGUGCAGGCGGUUCGGUAAGUUGGAUGUGAAAUCUCCUGGCUCAACUGGGAGAGGACGUUCAAUACUGUCGGACUAGAGGAUGGUAGAGGGAGGUGGAAUUCCCGGUGUAGUGGUGAAAUGCGUAGAUAUCGGGAGGAACACCAGUGGCGAAGGCGGCCUCCUGGGCCAUUCCUGACGCUCAGACGCGAAGGCUAGGGUAGCGAACGGGAUUAGAAACCCCGGUAGUCCUAGCAGUAAACGAUGUGGACUUGGCGUUGGUGGGGUAAAAUCCAUCAGUGCCGGAGCUAACGCGAUAAGUCCACCGCCUGGGGACUACGACCGCAAGGUUAAAACUCAAAGGAAUUGACGG
rnacentral:rRNA from 1 species